rnacentral:rRNA from 1 species
AUUGAACGCGGGCGGCAGGCCUAACACAUGCAAGUCGAGCGGAAACGAGUUAUCUGAACCUUCGGGGAACGAUAACGGCGUCGAGCGGCGGACGGGUGAGUAAUGCCUAGGAAAUUGCCCUGAUGUGGGGGAUAACCAUUGGAAACGAUGGCUAAUACCGCAUGAUGCCACGGGCCAAAGAGGGGGACCUUCGGGCCUCUCGCGUCAGGAUAUGCCUAGGUGGGAUUAGCUAGUUGGUGAGGUAAGGGCUCACCAAGGCAACGAUCCCUAGCUGGUCUGAGAGGAUGAUCAGCCACACUGGAACUGAGACACGGUCCAGACUCCUACGGGAGGCAGCAGUGGGGAAUAUUGCACAAUGGGCGCAAGCCUGAUGCAGCCAUGCCGCGUGUAUGAAGAAGGCCUUCGGGUUGUAAAGUACUUUCAGUCGUGAGGAAGGCGUUGUCGUUAAUAGCGGCAUCGUUUGACGUUAGCGACAGAAGAAGCACCGGCUAACUCCGUGCCAGCAGCCGCGGUAAUACGGAGGGUGCGAGCGUUAAUCGGAAUUACUGGGCGUAAAGCGCAUGCAGGUGGUUUGUUAAGUCAGAUGUGAAAGCCCGGGGCUCAACCUCGGAAUAGCAUUUGAAACUGGCAGACUAGAGUACUGUAGAGGGGGGUAGAAUUUCAGGUGUAGCGGUGAAAUGCGUAGAGAUCUGAAGGAAUACCGGUGGCGAAGGCGGCCCCCUGGACAGAUACUGACACUCAGAUGCGAAAGCGUGGGGAGCAAACAGG